rnacentral:rRNA from 1 species
CGGCACGAAGGUCUCCGAAGGUCCCCGUCCGUCACGCACCUCCUCUCCUCGCUGGACUCGGCUCUCUCUCUCUCUCUCCCUUCCUUUGCGGUCCUUGGAGGAGGAGGGAGGAGAGGCGAGAGGAGGAGGAGGAGGGGGCGCGUAGGAGCUCGGGGGGUCCGGCCGCCGCGCCCUGCGCCGUACCGGUGGCCGCCGCUGCCGACGCCGCCGCCCCUCGGCCGCCGCGGGCCGCCGCCGCUGGACAUGCGGCACGACCCCGAGUCGUUCCUCACGAGGCUGCGGCUGGAGUUCGAGCGGAUGGCCUUCGACCGGUACUCUACCGUAGGCCUGUCUACGAGCAGGAGGUCGCCGUGGUUCGCCUACCUCCUCCGGUUCCUCUUCAAGGUCCUCUAGGUCCCGCGGAUAAGGCAGGAGAGGCUGCGGUUGUUCGCCAAGGAGAUGCUGCACCCCCACAUGGUUCUUCUUCUUCUGUCGCUGCUGUCGCCCUACCCCCUGAAGGAACCACUCUACCGGGUAUACUACUCGGUCUGUGCCGGUCGCUCCGUCCUCUCGAAACUCCUCGACGUCGUCGACAAACACCUGUACAAAGUCAGACUAUAACUGAGCCCCAAAACGUUAUCUGGACGGUUCCCGGUAGUACUGGGCAAGGUUUGUAAGAGCUGGAGGGGAAGGAGCAGCGGUAGAGGUGGUGGAGGUCAUCGAUGUCUCCGUCUUCGUCGGAGUACAUUGCCGUAAUUGUUCGCACCGAGUAGUCGUUACCCGAGACCCUUCGGAGGUUCUCGACCCCUUCGCCCACGCCCAAUGCCGGUCGGACUCAAAACAAAACCCUGCUCGCUGCGGUUCGUUCGCGGUUUCCGCGCUCCGUCCUUGUGGUCGUCCUCUGCCUUGCCCGUUUUCGUCUUCGACAGCAGCUUCGUGCUGCAGAGCAGGCUCCUGCUCUACGACUCGGGCGUCGUCGGGUCUCAUCGUACU